UCUCCCUCAGGCUUUUAUGUCAAAACAACUGCCUGACCCAGGCGGAAGGAAGGAUAAAAGCCCAUCUGGUGGCAUAAACAUUCAGUUCAUGGCUGCUGGCAGUGAGAGGGCUUGAUGUACUUGGAGGAAGGGAAGCUGGGUUGGGGGUGUUUGAGGAUCAGCUUUGGAAAGGGUCACUUCGAAAUUUAGUCGUUAAAGUCAGACUUGCACAUGAGUUUAGAAAGACGCACCACCAACCACGUAGGAAGACUUUAAAAAUCCUUUCACUCCCUGGGUCAAUGAUCUCUGAGCCAUACCUGAUUGAUCGAUCAUUCCUUCCUUCAUUCAUGCUGCAUUUGCAAGUGCCUGAGAGCAACAGGAUUGCAUUUUUUGGAUCCACUCCUAAAUGAUUUGUGACCUCCGCCAGAUGUUGGGUUCCUGUGGCCACUGGUCACCAAUUUAGGCCUGGAGAAAAGCAUCACAUUUCCAAAACUUUCCUGCUCUGAGGUAAUUAACUGCCUAUCACCUGAUGAGUUGCAAAACCUGCUUCAUCUUGUGUUGACAAGAACUAGCUACUGACAAAUGUAGGAGCCACCGUUUGGGAAUGGAACAUAUGGAUGAAAGUGAAUCUGCACGAACAGAACCUAGGCAUGGUGAUGCCUGACCUUUCCCCUUGCCUUCCUUCUUUGGACAAUUAUAGUCUCAUCCGCAUAUGCUUUCCUCAAAGAUGCUAUUUAAAGAGAAACUACAUCUACUUGGCUCAAAUCAUCCCUGUGAAAUAGACACUUCUAUAGUAUUUGGUUUCAAUAAGGCAAAAAUAAACACAAAUUAUAUCCA